AAUCUAAAGUAUAAGAGCUAUGCAACUGAAACUUUAUAUAGUUAAUAAGUCUACUAUUGACAUCAUAUCCCGAGAAUUUUGUUUAUCUAGUAUAAUGCUAACCAAAGUUAUGAGGGUUCAAAAAAACGACGAAGCGCUUCGAGAAAAGAUAGGUAGUGCUUUUCGUUUUUUUUUUUUUUUUUUUGGUUCGUCUUGGCGGGGGCACUACCGUGCCCCCAGAU
rnacentral:misc_RNA from 1 species